rnacentral:rRNA from 1 species
CCUACGGGAGGCAGCAGUGGGGGAUAUUGCACAAUGGGGGAAACCCUGAUGCAGCGACGCCGCGUGGGUGAAGAAGCGCCUCGGCGCGUAAAGCCCUGUCAGCAGGGAAGAAAAUAACGGUACCUGAAGAAUAAGCCCCGGCUAACUACGUGCCAGCAGGCGCAGUAAUACGUAGGGGGCAAGCGUUAUCCGGAUUUACUGGGUGUAAAGGGGUCGCAGUCGGCGAUGCAAGCCAGGCGGGAAAGCCCGGGGCACAACCCCGGGCCUGCUCUUGGAACUGCGUGGCUAGAGUGCAGGAGGGGCAGGCGGAAUUCCUGGUGUAGCGGUGACAUGCGGAGAUAUCAGGAGGAACACCGGUGGCGAAGGCGGCCUGCUGGACUGCAACUGACGUUGAGGCCCGAAAGCGUGGGGAGCAAACAGGAUUAGAUACCCCUGUAGUC